rnacentral:lncRNA from 1 species
CACUAAUUAAUCCAACAACUCAGCAGCCCAAUUACACCCACCAACCCAGGCCCAAAAUCCCUCCGACCCGGCCCGGUCCCAUAAUCUUUAUCUCCUUUUCUUCAAGAACCUACGCAUACAAACAUCCAAGAACAAGAAUACAACGUACGACAACAAUUCCCAGCUUCAGUGAAACAACAUUCAAACCCACCGACCCAUUCGACCGAAAUCCAUCCAAAUCAACCCAUUUCCCCCGAUUCCCCUUAUCUCAACCCGAAUCCAACCCGUUUACUGCUUCCUCUUCACAGUCACGUGCUUUCUCACACGAUUUUGGUACGAAAUCUUCUAUAAAGAGGGUGAGGUGUUACCCCCAACGUCCGAAUUUCGUGAUUUUCGGGAUAACGCGUACGGAUUCUUACUUGUUUGGCAAAUUUCUGUUGGUUCUUGGGAAAAUGAUCCAUUUCCCCCAAUGGUUGUUGGCCAUCUGUUGAAAAUCCGUUCAAGAAAAUCAAAAGGGGUACAAUUUGUGAGCAUUCUCCUCUUUUGAAUUCAAAACGAACCCUCAACCCCCCUUUUUAUAAAUAACUUUCUUUAGGGUCUGGAGUGGGGAAUAUUUCUUUCUUUUGGAGAAUUUUUCUUUCUUUUGGGGACUGUUCCUAGGCUUUUAGGUUAAAAAUUAGGGUUUCAAAAAGGGGGAAAUCUUUUGAGUAAGUUUCUGAUUUCGAAAACAGAGAGAGGAAAAUUUUUUGGAUUUUUUUUUAAUGAAUUCAAGUUGAAAGUCUUAGUUGAAAAUCUGGGAGGUUUCAAAAUUUCUAAGAGGAAAAAGCAAAAGGACGCUCUAUUGGUGGUCGACAUCGCGAGAUUCUGGUAGCGACAAGUUUGCUGAUAGCUCGUCGUCCCGUUUGCUGCCCCGGAGAAGGUUCUAGGGUUGGGAUAAUCUGAAGAAGGAAAAAAAAAAUUUGAGCUGUCUGGGUUCGAGUGAAGAAACCUCUCUUCGGAAACCUUCUAGUGGUGGUGGUUGAGCUUUUGUUAUAGGUUCGAGUCCUGUUUGCUGCUUUUAAAGAGGUAAAUUCGCUCCUUCAACUUUUAAUCUAUUGUUUCCUUCUUCGUCUCUCUUCUUUGUGGCAACAGUAGUUUAGUCGUAAGCAUGAAUGAGGUGGGAUUUGUUGCUGUAGAAGCUGUUGAAGGCCUUAGGUUUUUCUUUUCUUUUUUUUCAAGUGAUUAUCGUUCGUGAUGUUGAAUAUUCCUGCUUAUGUUGAGUAUCCUAACAGUGUUUAAUUUCCUUGCUUUGGUUGUAUUAAAAGUCUUAACUUGCAAAAAAUUAUUUAAAAUUUGUUUAGCAUGGUUUAUUAGAUUACAUUUCGGAUUUACCCCUAAGUGAGAUUUGUUUGUACCCGUUUCCCCCUUGAAGCUAUUUAUUUCCAAAUUUUUAUUUUUUUUCCUCUUUUUCUCUCACAAACAUCUAAAGUCAUUAUGUGCCAUUUUUGAAUCUGUAUGUCAUCUAUUCAUUUUAAUAACCACUAUAAUGAUGUUAGCAAGGAUUCAUAAGGCGAGUCAUUCACCGAAGGAUUAUUGUCUAUCUGUGCGCAAUCACUCACCGCAUGCCACACAAUUGUUGUAAAAAAUAUUUGCUUAUUUUUGUUGCCUAGAAUCAGUCAUGUUUAUGCUUGUUUCUAUCAGUCUACAUUAUUUUAUUUGCCAAACGAGGUCCUAAUAAGUUUACCCCUUUUAUCUCCGUCUAUUCGCGUGCCCCUCUCAUGUUUUGUUUCUGUGAUUAUACGUAAAAUGAUGGUCCAUUAGGGCCCCUAAUUCGAUAUCCAUGGGAAAAAAAGGAUUUAUUCAUGAAAUAAAGGGUUGAGGUUGAUGACAUCUCAAUGAACUUGGACACAUGGUUUCAAAUAACCAGUCAAAGAGAGAUGGAAAUCCGAUUAGAGUCCCUUUAUAUGCUUAAAUCCCUAUGCUGAAUCACUAUAUCGUUUUCAAGUCAAAUAAUAAGAUCUUGUGAUGAAUUAAAUCUGGUAAAGGGAAGAAUUUGUUCAAAAUCUUUAAUUUAUUUCCGAUCAGUUCAAGGAUUGCCGAUAUGAAUUUAAUUCAGCCGUGUUAUCACUAUAUUGUCCGUUUAGGCGAAAUCAUGAGCUUAUUUCAGCCUUCCGAAAACUCUAGCAUUUUUUUUUAUGAAGUCUUACAUCUUCAGAUGUGCUACAAGAAUAUUUAGUCUAUGAUGCUCUUACCAGUUUAUUUCAUUUGGAGAUUUAAUGUAAAAUUAAGAGGUGAAUGUUCAAAGGAUACUAUAAGGGUGUUCUGCUACGCUAAUCCAAAUUUGUUUGAAGUUUACUUGCUUGAUUGAUAGCCCGCUUAAUUUACUUUACUAUAGAUCGAAUUAGAUUCAUCGUAAAACUACUAAAAGUAUUCUAUGACACUUUUCUUCAUUUGUUGGGUUGGUUUUGCUAUCAGUAGUUAACUUAGCCCAUAUUUACAAGGUUAGUUAAUUUUAUAUGUCUUCAUUACACAUGAUGAUUUAGUAUUUGUUUGAAUAUUGACAUUAGGAUGCAUAUUAAUGGCUUGACUUUUCUUUUGCAUAUGGAUGUGCUCGUGUCCUACACGGGCCCUUUUCUCGUUGCAUAUGCAUUAUGGGCCAUUGAGGCCCAUCCUUCAUAAAUCGAUUUCAAAGGCCCUAAGGAGAUAAUCUCAUAGUACAUGACUCCGAAGAAGAAGAAUAGAUUAAAGUCCCAUUCUUGAAGCGUCGAAGAGACCCGUGUCUCCUUUAUAUUUAUUUAUUUGUCGUCAUUAUUUAUUUUUGUCAUAUUUAUUUAUUCCUUCAAUUAUUUAUUUAGGCCUCGAAGCCAAAGUUGUACUUAAUCAGGUGAAGCGAGACUCGAGCUAAAAGGCUCGAAAACAUAGAGUUGGGACAGGUGAAAACGGGUCAAAAACUCAACUAGAUUAGGACAGGGUCGAUGGUUUGGGCUUAAAAGCCUAAAUCACUACUUUCCCAUUUUCCCCCUUUCCCUUUCGUUUACUUGUUUGCUUGUCUCUUUGCGAACCUAUUUAAAUCCCUAACUAAGUCGCUAAAAAAUGAAUUUCGUCAAAACCUUUUCCUUUAUCAAUUUUUUUUUUCAACAAAUCGAUGUUCCAAAGUUAAUCAAAAGAAUAUUUUCAAACGUAUCGGAUAACCGCAAGUUAGCGGAGUUUUAGGUGCCUAACACCUUCCUAAAACGUUAAUAGGAACCGCCUACUCAGAAUCUCUAACUUAAACGAUUUUCCUGUUUUGAAUCGUUUUAAAUAACUUUCUAAAGGUUUCUUAAUUCCUUUUCAAAAUUAAAUGGCGACUCUCUCAAAAAGUCAAAAUUCCUGCAAAACAAACAUCAAUUGAGAACAGUUUAUCUACCCUACAAAUGUAGUGAUAAAAUAUGUAUUCUAUCGUCCAAAGACUUCAAAUAUGAGAUUAUGUUGAAAAUUAUUUUGAGAUUGAAGACAUAACUAUUGAAUCCUCUAUCUGACAAAGACAUUUAUAAGGUAUACAUACAUCAAUAAUUUUAUUUAUGAAGAGACUUGUUAUAACAUUUAUCACGUUUAUUUUUAUCACUUAAAUAAAUCCUUGCUAUAUAAGUUCAUAUAAUUUGUUAUUUUCCUACAAUAUUUAUUCAUAUCAUUUAAAUAGAUAUAACAUUUAUAUUAACAUCUAUCUGAACUUUUUUAAUAAGUUUUUUUUAUAUAUAUAUAAUUUUAUUGAUUGACGUGUUAACAUCUAUUUGUAUUUUUUUACUAAGUUUUUUUUUGUUUAUAAUUUUAUUGAUUGGCGUGUUAACAUCUAUUUGUAUUUUUUUAAUAAGUUCUUUUCUAUAUAAUUUUAUUGCUUGACGGGAGACAUACGUACAAAGCACGUAAACUAAACUAUUAUACUAAAUAUGUCUUACUACGUACUAAGUAAAUAUGUCUAUAUAUUUUGUAUAUGUCUUUAAGUUCACAUAAAUUGUUUGAAGAAAAAAACAAGUAAUUCAAAUGUAUAGUGGUAUUAAAUGUAUAUAUUGGAUAGACACAAUUCGUGAUUAAGAAAAGACAUCAUUGUCACCCCAAACUAUACUCGAAAAGUCGAAGACACACCUAAACUAUUGAAGUGACCUAAUACACACCUAUACUAUUUAAAAGUGAAACUAUUUACCCCUCGUAACUGACCUGACAUAGAAGGUAAUCCAUAUUCCUACACGCACGUGAAAAGCCAAAAAAAUAUCAAAAACUUAUUAAAACGUCCACAUGUCAUCAUUCAAUUGGAUUUUAACAACUAAUUAUAUUCAAUUUUUUUUAUAUAUAUAUUUAUAUAGUUUUUAUUUUCUUUCUUUACUUUUUUAUGUGUUUUCCUCUUCUUCUUUUUUCUCUUCAUCUUUGUCUCCUUUCAUUUUUUCUCCUCUCUUUCUUAACUUUAUCUCUAAUUCCUUAGCUCAGUUUCUUCUCUAACCUCCAUGAAUUCAUCGUUGAGUUUACAUAUAUACUUAUCCUUUUACCUUUUUUUCUUAUUUUUUCGAUAUUUUGUUGUAGGUAGUUGAAAAUCAUAUUGAAUUGUGGGUUGUUUGAAUUUUACAAAAUUGAGUUGUGGGUAUCUUGAAUUUCACAAGUUAAGUUCUGAAUUUCUUGUAUUUUACUGAAUUGCGUAGUGGGUUUCUCGAAUUUUGCGAAUUGAGUUAUGAAUUUAUCGAAUUUUACAAAGUUGAAUUACGGGUUUCUUGCAUUUAUGAUUUGCUCGAGCAAAUCAUAAAUCCAAUUCGAGAAAAUUCGAUUGUGUUUAUGAUUGUGGGUUUAUGAUUUGCUCGAAUUUGGGGGUUAUGAUUUGGGUUUUUUUAUGAAUUGGGUUAUGAUUUGCUUGAAUUUUAUCGAAUUGGAUUUGUUUUUUCCGAAUUUUACAAAAUAGCGGAAGAUUGUGAAAUGGUGAAAAAUUAAAGUUAUUUUGCUUGUUUGAUUUGGGUUGCUUUGAUCCGAUCAAAUUCAUUUUUAU